CAAGAACCAUCUCCCCCAGAGACAUCGAACGCUCGUAAGGAAUCUGGGUAUCAAUCGACUCAAUUUAUGACGGGUUCCAGCUUUAAAAGCACGAUUCAAGACACCUUUUUUAAUUCAGAUCUGUGCGUUGAGAAAGAUCCGACUUCGAAGCUUUUUUACUCCAUUUGGCGACGAUCAUCCACGUGAAACCCUAGUUACUUCCCUCGCAGUAACAGCAAAGAGAAGGCUGGGCUGAGCGCAGGCAUCGCGGGGUCCACCCCGAACUCGGUAAAGGAAGAGUUGACCUCGAGUUGGGAGCCAGUGAUUACCGGCGAUUACUCGCAGAGCAC
rnacentral:lncRNA from 1 species